rnacentral:piRNA from 1 species
UAGUUUGGUAACUGUAUAUGGGAUGAAUCC